rnacentral:rRNA from 1 species
UUAAGCGACUAAGCGUACACGGUGGAUGCCCUGGCAGUCAGAGGCGAUGAAGGACGUGCUAAUCUGCGAUAAGCGUCGGUAAGGUGAUAUGAACCGUUAUAACCGGCGAUUUCCGAAUGGGGAAACCCAGUGUGUUUCGACACACUAUCAUUAACUGAAUCCAUAGGUUAAUGAGGCGAACCGGGGGAACUGAAACAUCUAAGUACCCCGAGGAAAAGAAAUCAACCGAGAUUCCCCCAGUAGCGGCGAGCGAACGGGGAGGAGCCCAGAGCCUGAAUCAGUGUGUGUGUUAGUGGAAGCGUCUGGAAAGGCGCGCGAUACAGGGUGACAGCCCCGUACACAAAAAUGCACAUGCUGUGAGCUCGAUGAGUAGGGCGGGACACGUGGUAUCCUGUCUGAAUAUGGGGGGACCAUCCUCCAAGGCUAAAUACUCCUGACUGACCGAUAGUGAACCAGUACCGUGAGGGAAAGGCGAAAAGAACCCCGGCGAGGGGAGUGAAAAAGAACCUGAAACCGUGUACGUACAAGCAGUGGGAGCACGCUUAGGCGUGUGACUGCGUACCUUUUGUAUAAUGGGUCAGCGACUUAUAUUCUGUAGCAAGGUUAACCGAAUAGGGGAGCCGAAGGGAAACCGAGUCUUAACUGGGCGUUAAGUUGCAGGGUAUAGACCCGAAACCCGGUGAUCUAGCCAUGGGCAGGUUGAAGGUUGGGUAACACUAACUGGAGGACCGAACCGACUAAUGUUGAAAAAUUAGCGGAUGACUUGUGGCUGGGGGUGAAAGGCCAAUCAAACCGGGAGAUAGCUGGUUCUCCCCGAAAGCUAUUUAGGUAGCGCCUCGUGAAUUCAUCUCCGGGGGUAGAGCACUGUUUCGGCAAGGGGGUCAUCCCGACUUACCAACCCGAUGCAAACUGCGAAUACCGGAGAAUGUUAUCACGGGAGACACACGGCGGGUGCUAACGUCCGUCGUGAAGAGGGAAACAACCCAGACCGCCAGCUAAGGUCCCAAAGUCAUGGUUAAGUGGGAAACGAUGUGGGAAGGCCCAGACAGCCAGGAUGUUGGCUUAGAAGCAGCCAUCAUUUAAAGAAAGCGUAAUAGCUCACUGGUCGAGUCGGCCUGCGCGGAAGAUGUAACGGGGCUAAACCAUGCACCGAAGCUGCGGCAGCGACGCUGAUGCGUUGUUGGGUAGGGGAGCGUUCUGUAAGCCUGCGAAGGUGUGCUGUGAGGCAUGCUGGAGGUAUCAGAAGUGCGAAUGCUGACAUAAGUAACGAUAAAGCGGGUGAAAAGCCCGCUCGCCGGAAGACCAAGGGUUCCUGUCCAACGUUAAUCGGGGCAGGGUGAGUCGACCCCUAAGGCGAGGCCGAAAGGCGUAGUCGAUGGGAAACAGGUUAAUAUUCCUGUACUUGGUGUUACUGCGAAGGGGGGACGGAGAAGGCUAUGUUGGCCGGGCGACGGUUGUCCCGGUUUAAGCGUGUAGGCUGGUUUUCCAGGCAAAUCCGGAAAAUCAAGGCUGAGGCGUGAUGACGAGGCACUACGGUGCUGAAGCAACAAAUGCCCUGCUUCCAGGAAAAGCCUCUAAGCAUCAGGUAACAUCAAAUCGUACCCCAAACCGACACAGGUGGUCAGGUAGAGAAUACCAAGGCGCUUGAGAGAACUCGGGUGAAGGAACUAGGCAAAAUGGUGCCGUAACUUCGGGAGAAGGCACGCUGAUAUGUAGGUGAAGUCCCUUGCGGAUGGAGCUGAAAUCAGUCGAAGAUACCAGCUGGCUGCAACUGUUUAUUAAAAACACAGCACUGUGCAAACACGAAAGUGGACGUAUACGGUGUGACGCCUGCCCGGUGCCGGAAGGUUAAUUGAUGGGGUUAGCCGCAAGGCGAAGCUCUUGAUCGAAGCCCGGUAAACGGCGGCCGUAACUAUAACGGUCCUAAGGUAGCGAAAUUCCUUGUCGGGUAAGUUCCGACCUGCACGAAUGGCGUAAUGAUGGCCAGGCUGUCUCCACCCGAGACUCAGUGAAAUUGAACUCGCUGUGAAGAUGCAGUGUACCCGCGGCAAGACGGAAAGACCCCGUGAACCUUUACUAUAGCUUGACACUGAACAUUGAGCCUUGAUGUGUAGGAUAGGUGGGAGGCUUUGAAGUGUGGACGCCAGUCUGCAUGGAGCCGACCUUGAAAUACCACCCUUUAAUGUUUGAUGUUCUAACGUUGACCCGUAAUCCGGGUUGCGGACAGUGUCUGGUGGGUAGUUUGACUGGGGCGGUCUCCUCCUAAAGAGUAACGGAGGAGCACGAAGGUUGGCUAAUCCUGGUCGGACAUCAGGAGGUUAGUGCAAUGGCAUAAGCCAGCUUGACUGCGAGCGUGACGGCGCGAGCAGGUGCGAAAGCAGGUCAUAGUGAUCCGGUGGUUCUGAAUGGAAGGGCCAUCGCUCAACGGAUAAAAGGUACUCCGGGGAUAACAGGCUGAUACCGCCCAAGAGUUCAUAUCGACGGCGGUGUUUGGCACCUCGAUGUCGGCUCAUCACAUCCUGGGGCUGAAGUAGGUCCCAAGGGUAUGGCUGUUCGCCAUUUAAAGUGGUACGCGAGCUGGGUUUAGAACGUCGUGAGACAGUUCGGUCCCUAUCUGCCGUGGGCGCUGGAGAACUGAGGGGGGCUGCUCCUAGUACGAGAGGACCGGAGUGGACGCAUCACUGGUGUUCGGGUUGUCAUGCCAAUGGCACUGCCCGGUAGCUAAAUGCGGAAGAGAUAAGUGCUGAAAGCAUCUAAGCACGAAACUUGCCCCGAGAUGAGUUCUCCCUGACCCUUUAAGGGUCCUGAAGGAACGUUGAAGACGACGACGUUGAUAGGCCGGGUGUGUAAGCGCAGCGAUGCGUUGAGCUAACCGGUACUAAUGAACCGUGAGGCUUAACCUU